UGACCUCAAAUCAGGCAAGAAUACCCGCUGAACUUAAGCAUAUCAAUAAGCGGAGGAAAAGAAACUAACAAGGAUUCCCCUAGUAACGGCGAGUGAAGAGGGAAGAGCUCAAAUUUUAAAUCUGCCUUGUUCCCAAGGUCGAGUUGUAAUUUGAAGAAGCGUUUUCUUGGGCUCGCGGCCGGUAGAAGUUCUUUGGAACAGGACAUCAUAGAGGGUGACAAUCCCGUCCGUGCCCGGUCGUGUGUUCAUCUACGAUACGCUUUCAAAGAGUCGAGUUGUUUGGGAUUGCAGCUCCAAAUGGGUGGUAAACAUCACCUAAGGCUAAAUAUUGGCGAGAGACCGAUAGCGAACAAGUACCGUGAGGGAAAGAUGAAAAGAACUUUGAAAAGAGAGUUAAACAGUACGUGAAAUUGUUGAAGGGGAAACGAUUGAAGUCAGUCGUGCUGGCGCGAAAUCAACCCUCUCGUCGGGAGACCACCGUUGUGGCGAGCCUCAAAACCGCCACAGCGUGUGAUCUCACGACGAGGGGGAGCACUUUCGUGUCCGCUGGUUAACAUCAAUUUCGAACGUCAUAAAAAGGCUGGAGGGAUGUGGCUCCUUCGGGAGUGUUAUAACCUUUAGCGAAAUGUGGUGGUCGGGAUUGAGGAUUGCAACGAAUACCUUUAGGGCUGUUCCACCUGGCCUCUCUUUGGUAUCCUGGUGACGACAGCUUGUUGACGUUGUUAGGAUUCGCCUUUGAACAGGCUAGAGUGUGAGCAAAUUCGUUAAGGAUGUUAACGUAAUGGCUUUAAACGACCCGUCUUGAAACACGGACCAAGGAG
rnacentral:rRNA from 1 species